GUGCCUUGGUGGAAGAGUGGGGUAACAUCUCACAGCAAGAACUGGCAAAUCUGGUGCAGUCCAUGAGGAGGAGAUGUACUGCAGUACUUAAUGCAGCUGGUGGCCACACCAGAUACUUGACUGUUACUUUUGAUUUUGACCCCCCCCUUUGUUCAGGGGACACAUUAUUCCAUUUCUGUUAGUCACAUGUCUGUGGAACUUGUUCAGUUUAUGUCUCAGUUGUUGAAUCUUAUUAUGUUCAUACAAAUAUUUACACAUUAAGUUAAGUUUGCUGAAAUUGAACGCAGUUGACAGUGAGAGGAGGUUUAUAUAGUCUAUAGUUUAUAUUGGCCACACCCCCUCUGGCCUUAUUGCUUAAAUAUACAAUGUUACUAUUUUACAAUGUGCAGUGUGUAUCAGAGUAACAUUGAAUUGACUUCAACUUUGUUCACAGUCCAAUCACAGUCAGCCUGCUGGUUUUCCUACACUACCCCAGAUCAGUCAGCCUGCUGGUUUUCCUACACUACCCCAGGUCAGUCAACCUGAUGGUUUUCCUACACUACCCCAGAUCAGUCAACCUGAUGGUUUUCCUACACUACCCCAGGUCAGUCAACCUGAUGGUUUUCCUACACUACCCCAGGUCAGUCAACCUGAUGGUUUUCCUACACUACCCCAGGUCAGUCAACCUGAUGGUUUUCCUACACUACCCCAGGUCAGUCAACCUGAUGGUUUUCCUACACUACCCCAGGUCAGUCAACCUGAUGGUUUU